CGAUUUGUGGUGGGAUUUCUCCUGAAAGCAAGUUGUGACUCAGAUCUAACUGGGAGAGGUGACUCAGCUUACCCAUCUGAGCUGGAAUUCUGUUGCUAAGUUUGUUAUUGCUCAGGUUCAAGUAAUGUAAGUUCAAGCAGGCACCCAAGUUCUCUGUUAUUGACCCAUUCAAUCUGUUUGCUGAUAGAUCGAGAUGGGCAAGACUGAACAGAGAUCCAAGUUCGGGAGGUAUACUUCCAGAAAGUUGGUUAUCAUUUAAUUUUAGCUCCAACAGAGAAGUUAAACUUCCCAUUUUCUUUGGGAUUUCCCCAACCAAAUGAUUUGAAGAAAGAUCAAGCAAAGUUAGAUUAGUUGAGAUUCCAAAAUCUUCUGGUAUGCUCCCUGUAAUAUCGUUACCGGCCAUCUCCAGCCUUUGUAGUUGUGGGCACCUUCCCCAGUUAUGAGAGAGUUCGCCAUGAAACCUGUUGUAGCUCAAAUCGAUGUAUUCCAGGUUUGGACAGUCACCAACUACCUCAGAUAUAUUUCCAGUGAGUUGAUUUCCCCCGAACAGAGCUCUGGUUAAGUUUCUGCAAUUUUUCAUGCUUUUAGGGAUGGGACCACUGAGAAGGUUGUCGCUCACUGUAAAGCGUACCAGAGAUCCACCUUGGCAAAUUCCUUCUGGUAAAGAGCCAGACAGCCGAUUUGUGUCGAUUUCUAGCACAACCAACUUAUGAAGUUUCCCAAUUUCUUUAGGAAAGUAACCAGAAAGAUGGUUAUCACGGAGGAAUAAAAUUUCUAAGUUGGUCAGAUUACCCAGUGAAGUAGGAAUGGAACCAUUGAGUUGGUUUUCUGAAAGUUCUAGAUCAACAAGAGACUUCAAGUUACCUAUUUCUGGAGGAAUGGGACCGGAAAGUUGAUUGGCAUAGAGAUGCAGGAGGGUUAGGCCACUGAGAUCACCCAAGGACGCAGGGAUUGGACCAGAAAGAUUGUUUGCGUAGAGGCUUAUACCUUGCAGAGAUGUCAAAUUUCCUAUUUCUGGUGGGAUAUGCCCGGAGAGUUGAUUGUUGAAUAGGUACAACGUGGUUAAACGUUUCAAGUUUCCGAAAGUGGAAGGGAUGAGACCUGUGAGAUUGUUGGUAUCCGAGUAUAUCUCAACAAGGUUGGCGAGAUUUCCCAUUUCUGGAGGAAUGGAACCGGAAAGUUGAUUUUCAUAGAGAUACAAAGAGGCCAAGUUGCUCAAAUUACCCAAAGAAGCAGGAAUAGAACCCUCCAGUUGGUUGGUGUACAAAGCAAGCUCAUAAAGAGAUGACAACUGACCGAUUUCAUGAGGAAUUGAACCAUUGAGCUGAUUUUGAACCAGGUGCAGGACCUCAAGGUUAGUUAAUAGGCCAAUUUCCGGUGGAAUCCCUCCUGAGAACUGGUUGGUGGACAGAUCAAGGUAUUUGAGCUUGGAGAGGAGACCGAUUUGGGGUGGGAUAGGACCAGAGAGGUUGUUGAUGCAGACAUCAACGUAUGCAAGAUUGGGAAAAGAUGAAAAUGAGAAGGCUUGGAGCGUACCUCUUAAACCGGACUCUGUGAGGUUUAUUCUGAUGACACUCCCUGCAUGGUUGCAGGAUAUCCCAUACCAUUUGCAUGGACCGGUUGCCGUUCCAUGGUGGGUAGAAGAAUUGGUGGAGUUGUUAGGAUCCGGAUAAAGAGUCCACGAAAGGAGGAAAGAAUGGUUAUGGUUGUGAAGGGUAGAUUUCCAUUUGAGGAGAGCUUGUGUUUCUUCAUUAGAAUAAGAAGAAACAUGAUCUGAACAAAUUAACAUAACCAAGAGGAGUAGGGAAACAAGGGAGAGCAUUUUCUGUAAGGUUGAGAACGCCAUGUAUAGUUUUAGUUGAUAAAUUGCAUAUGCUGCUUCACAUCUUCUUUUAUACACAUUUGGUUCCUUUGGUCCUUUUAGGUGACUGUCUUGUUCACGCGUAUUCCCACAGGGAAGAAAGUUGCGUUUUAAUGUCAAGAUCAAGGUCCUUUGAAGCAUGGCUCCUUUUUCUUUCUUUUUUCCAUGGAUUGCACUGUACUAGUAUGGUGGUCUUCCUGUGUGAUUAUGGUGGUUGAAAUCUUCUCUUUUUGCAAAUUUGGAAAUUAAGUUUAGCAGGUGUUGUUGAACAAUAUUUUUAAUUGUUUUUAGUUGAUUUCACUUAUUUUUAAGGGUUGUUUUAAAAAAAAAAAAAUUAUAUAAAUAGGAAGAAUGAUUAAAAAUAAAAUAAUAGAUAUAAAAAUUAUUUUUAAAACAUAUUUAAGAACAUUAAAAAUAAGUUAAAAAUACCAAUUUCUUAAACAAAAUUUUAUUUUACAAAAUAUCAGAGAACAAUUUUAAUUUUUUUUUUCAAAAAUUGUUAUUCAUAAUUGUUUGUAAAAAUAUUCUAUUAAAUAGAGCCUAAUUCUUUUUGGGUCUUUACUUUCAUGUUUAUAAUCAUAAUGGUUUGCCCUUUAUUAACAAACUUGAAGGUUUGUUUUAGUUAAAUAAUUGCAAAAGAAAAUUUUAGUAUGUCAUAUUUAAUCACUUAAGUGGAUUUAUUAAAACUUAGGUGAUGUUUUUAAUAGUAUUUAAUAAUGUUAAGUAUUAAGUUGUUUAUUUUUUUUUAAUAUUUUAUUUCAAUUAAGUAUUAAAAAAUAUAGAAAAAUUAAUAUGUUGCUUUUGAUAUUAAGAAAAAGUCAAAUAUUUUGAUUUUUUUCUAUUUAAUGAAAAAAUUUAAGAAAUAAGUAAUAAGUUAACAAAAAGUGAAAAAAUAAAUAAUUUGAAAUCUAAAAGCAAAUUACUUUAAAAAAAAAAGUUAAAAAAAAUGUCAUCUUAAUAAUUAAUAUUUAGAAAAUUUUAAAGAAAGUGAAAAAGAAAAAAAUGAAGUGAAAAAAAUGGAUUUUAAGUUAAUAAUUUAUUUUUAUAUGGUUUUUAAAACUUAUUUUAAUUAUUUUCUUUUAUAUAUAAAAAUUAAAUUAUUUAAAAACAUUUAAAAAUUUAUAAAUAAUUUUAAUUAUAUUUACUAACUUUUUUUUAUGUAUUUUAAUCAAACAUUAGAAAAUACUUUUUUUAAAUAUCUUUUCGUCUCUCCUUUCUUAGAACUAAAGAUAAGAAUGAUAAUUAAAUAUGAUUUAAAUUUAAAUUAUAUUUAACUUGUUGACUUAACAUUUAUUAUCUAAUUUUUAAUUUUUAAGUAUUAAGAUUAUUUGUUCAUAUUACUUAAUUUUUUAAAAAUUAUUAACCUCAUAUUAUCAAGUAACAAGAUUAUUUGAGAGGUACAAGGAAGAUAAAGGGACAUGGGCUGUUCAGGUAAAAAAAAAAAAAUGAAAUUUAGAAAAAGUUAAUUUUUUUGAGCUGUUAUUCUAAGUUUUUUUUUUUUUUUAGGUUUUAUAGGUUUGAUAGGACUUUAUGAUUGGACUCCAUAAUUUCCCUUUGGUCCUUUUCAUUUUUGAAUUUCACUGAGUUUAGCCCACUCUAUUUAACCCAAUUUUUAAGGCCCAUUGAGUUUAUAUUGAAACCCAGGUCUACUUGAUAAUAUGAGGUUAAUAAUUUUAUACACACUCACUUUGUAAGAUUGAAUCCCAGCCAUUGAUUUUAUAUUGAAACCCUAACCCAGAGGUACUUUUAGAGUCUUUAGUAUGAUAAGAAUAGGAUAUAUAUAAUAUCAUUUGGUAGGAUAUGAUAGAUACUUAUAUUUUAGAAUAUAUUUUUUGAGAAAUAUGAUAUUUUUGAAUAUUAUGUAUUUACUAUAUAUUAUAUUAUAUUUAUAUUAUUUAUAAAAUAAAUAAAUAAAUUAUUUUUUAAAUAAUAGAUACUUAUAUUUUAAAAUAUAUUUUUUGAGAAAUAUGAUAUUUUUAAAUAUUAUCUCUAAAUAGUGUAAAGUAUUAUAUAUAUAUAUAUAUAUAUAUAUAUAUAUAUAUAUAUAUAUAUAUUUAUAAAAUGAAUUAUUUAAUUAAUUAAAAAUUAAUUUUUAAUUAUUUAAUAUUUAUUUAAAAUAAAUAUCAUAUUGAUCCAAGUGAAGCUCAUCCCUUGAAUAGUAAUUCCAAAAGUGCUACAGUCAGCAAGAAAUUGCAUGAUAUGCUCUUGCUUUGCUUCUCCUGUAGCUUUAGCCUUUUCACAGAUCAUCUGUCUAAGGUUUUCAAGAAGGUCCAAAUUUUUCAGCUUGAAAAAUGAAAAUCUGGAAAUUUGACAUUCUUGGCUUUCUUGAGAAAGUUUUGAAUCUUCAUUUGGUUUUGAAAGUUCUUUUUGAAAUUCAUUUUGAAAAUCUUUUGAAAAUGCAUCUUUGGAUCCUUUUGCUUUUUUCCUGCAAAUGAAAUUUUCAAGAUCUGUAUCCAUUGGUGUGCAAUGUAUAUCAGAACUUGAAGGGUUAGAAAAACUUUCUAAUUUAUCAUUUAACUGUUUAAAAUGGAAAGAUAAUGCAUUUAAAGCUUCCAACUUUUGAAUAUCACUUUUUGCAUUCCAGAGGUUGUCUAAAAUGCAUUUUUGUGAUCUGUCUAAACCUUCAAUAUCUUUAUGAAUUCGAAAUGACAUAUUACAUUUAGGGAAUACUGGAAGAGUAAAUUUCCCAAAUGUAAUUCUUUCUUGCUCCAUCUGUAAACAAAAUUCAAAUAUUAGUAUCUCUAUUGAAGAAUAAAACAAAUAUCUAAUGAUUUUGUCUUUAUCAUACCAAAUUUGAAAAUAUAUUGAGUUUAUGAGAGGAACAUAAUUUCUAAUAAUGAUGUUAAAAUGAGGUUUUGAAUAUUUUGAAAUCACAUUUAUUGACUUAUAUGAGCAUGCACAAAUACCAUCACAAUCUUUUUGAUUAUCUGAUUCUUCUUCUAGACUUGACUCGUCACUUGAUAUUUCUUGAGUUAUAAGGAUUUGAUUAUCUUCUUCUGAUUCAUAAUUUUCACUUGAUUCAUCAUUUUCUUUAUCAAUCAUUAAUCCUAUCAUUAGAUUUUUGAGUUUAUCACUUAUUUCUAAUGAAUUGAUUUUAUUUUCUAAUUGACAAUCUCUUGAAUAAUGACCUACUUUUCCACAUUUAUAACAAGUAGGUGUUUUCUUUUUUAAAUCUGAGGAUUGUUUUUAUCAGUGUUAUGAGUGAUUUCAACUGAAUCGGUGUCUACCAGGAUGAACUCAUAGAAUUGACGAGUUUUCAAAGGAUCAUUUGAAUUAAAGUUGACUCCUUGAGGAAAGAUGUAAGGAAGAAUUUUAGGAAUCUCUUCAAAAUUGAACUCUGGCUCAAUGAAAGCAAUUUCUAAUGUUUUGGGUUUUUUGACAUAUUGACUAUAGGAAUAUGAAGGAGAAGGAAACUGAGAAGGAGAAGGUAAUGUUGAAAUAGUGUUGGGGCUUGAUUUACUCUGAACAACAAUAUUUUUAGGGGAUGAUUUAGAAGCUUGAAUAAAACUUUUUGAAGGUUGAAGAGGAGGAAAAUCUGGACUCAAAACUUGAAAAGAAUUUGAUGUCUGCAAAGGAAAAGUAGGACGAACAUUUGAAAAGUUUGAAAUCAUAGCAUAUGAUGCUUUGGUUUUCUUGGAUGAUGAAGGAAGUUGAGGCCUAACGGGAGUACCCAUUAGGAUGGAGAAGGAUCCUUACCCUGCAAAAACUCCCGAGUAAGGAAGUCAGGAAGGGAAUUCAACUCUCCUUUGAUAAAUUCGAUUUCAAAAUCAAAGUUUGAAAGUAAAGCUUGCCAUCUUGCAAAAAUUUGUUUUGAAACCAAAUUUUUAACAUCUUUUUGUAAAAUAUCUUUUGCAGCUUUGCAAUCGAUUUUCAAAAGAAAUUUCUUGUUUAUCAAAUCACUUUGAAAUUUUGAAAUACACAAAACUAUUGAUAAAACUUCUUUUUUGACAGUUGAAUAAUUUAUUUGAGCGCCCAACCAGAUCCCUGAAUGAUAUCUAACUAUAUGCACUUGAUUGUUAUAUUCUUGCUUUAAUAUGCCUCCAUAACCUAAAUUAGAUGCAUCUGAUUCUACAAUGAGUAAUGCAUUUGGAUGAGGAAUGCUGAUGCAUGGUAAUCUUUUGACUCUUUGUUUAAUUUCUUUAACCAGACUGGUAUGAUGCUCAUUCCAUGCAGGUGCAUUUUUUGUAAGUCUUUUGUAUAAUGGUUCACAAAUGAUUCUCAAAUCUUUGAAGUAAUCAGAAACAUAAUUUAAACAUCCUAGAAAUCUUUGCAAUUGUUUUUUAUCUUUUAUUUCAUCAGGAAAUUUGUCAGCGAAUUCUAUUGAUCUUUGAAUCGGUUUUGUUUUUCCUUGAAAAAUUUCAUGACCUAAAAAUCUGAUUUUUGUUUGAAACAAUUUCAUUUUUGGAGCAGAACAAGCCAUUCCAUUUGCUUUAAUGACAUUAAAAAACUUUUUCAAAUGAAUAAAAUGUUUUUCUAAUGAAUCAGAAAAUACUAAAACAUCGUCAAUAUAUACAAUGAUGAACUGAAAAUGAGGAUUAAAAAUAUCAUUCAUAAUAUUUUGAAAUUCAGAAGGGGCAUUUUUGAGACCAAAAGGCAUGACAUUCCAUUCAUAAUGACCAAAAGGGACAGUAAAAGCAGUUUUGUACCUAUCUUCUUCUUUAAUUUGAACUUGCCAAAAUCCUGAUUUCAUAUCAAAUUUUGAAUAAAUGACAGAACUAUGAAGUCUUUUAAGUAAAUCUUGCUUAUUAGGAAUAGGGUAUCUUAUCCAUUGUAAUACUUUAAUUAAAGGUUUAUAAUUAAUGACUAAUCUAGGUGCUCCUCUUUCUAUCUCAGCAGCAUUUUGAACAUAAAAAGCAGCACAACUCCAAGGAGAUUUUGAGGGUCUAAUUAAUUUCUUCUUUAAUAAUGAAUCAAUUUCUUGUUUGCAAUAUUUCAAAAGUUUUUCAUUCAUUUGAAUCGGCCUAGCCUUAGUAGGAAUUUUGGACUCAUCAAAAUUUUGAAUGUAAGGCAAACUUAUCUCAUGUUUCUUUCUUGACCAAAAAGCAUUAGGAAGAUCAGAACAAAUUUCAUUUUGAAAAAGAUCUUGAAUCUCUUUAAUUUUCUUUUGAACUUUAUCUUCUAAGAGUUGUUCAUCUACCUUUUUAUAUUGAAUUUCUUUUGAUAGAUAAUUUAUAUGAGCUUUCUUUCUUUGAAUUAAAUUUAUGUUCUUAUUUAUUGAAUCACUUUGAACUUGAUGUAUUUCUUUUUUAGUUAAUGGAUAUAUAAAGGGAAAAAAUAUGGUAUUUCCUAAUAUUGUAGUUUUGACACCUUCAUCAUUUACUUGAAAAGGGUAAAGUAAGGUAAUAAAAGGAGUUCCUAAUAUUAGAGGUUCAUUCAUAUUUUGUACUAAUAUAAAUUGAGUUCUAAAACAAUAAUUAUCUUGACAUAUAUGAACAUUUUGAAGUUUAUAUUUUAUUUCUAAUUUUCCUUUAUUUGCAGCAAAAAGUUCUUGUCCUGUUUUUUCAUAAUAUUUAGUAGGAAUUAUUCCUUCUUGAAUACAAUUCAUAUCAGCUCCCGAGUCUAUUAAUGCUACUAUUUCUAUUUCAAAAUCUUCAACUAUAAUUUUUAUAUUUGUAUACCAUCUUUGAAAAUAUAUUUUUGAUAUUGUAUUUAUAAAUGAUUCUAUAGGAGUUAUUUUAUUAGGUAUUAUUAUUCCUGGUUCUUGNNNNNNNNNNNNNNNNNNNNNNNNNNNNNNNNNNNNNNNNNNNNNNNNNNNUAUUUGAAAAACCAAAGGAAAAAAGGAAUAGUCAUCUUAACUUGUUGCAUAUAUUUUUCAUAUUGUUUUCUUAAUGCAUUUCUAACUUGAGGAGGAAGUUGUUGAAAAUAAUUUCUUUUUGCCGUAUUUUCAGGAGAAAAAUAAUUUGCUUUAAUUAAUUCUACUUCAGGAACAAAAUGAUUUCUUUUAAUGUAUUUUUUCUAAUGAUAUUUAUGUUUAAAGGAGGUUUAUCUUGAAAGAAAAUUUUUGACUCAGACUCUUCUUCAAAAAGAGAAAUUUCAGGAACAAAGUUUGAACUAUUUUUUAGUUGAUUUUCUAUUUGAUUUAAUUCUUCAUUAAAUUUUGAAUUAUUAAAUUUUAUAUGAUGACUCCAUGAUGAUGCAGCUACUGAUGCAGAUGAUGAUGCAGUAGAUGCAUUGAAAAUCUCAUUAUCUUAUAUGAAGAACUUUCUAAAUUAUAUGCAGAAUUAUUUAAUGCAGAUGCAGAACUUUCAUGGGACCUAAGAGAUCUGGAAGAACUAUUUCUACUUAAUUCCCUAAUAAUAUUACUCAUUGUCACAGAAAAUAAUCACAAUUUUAUCCUUAAUCAAUUCAGAUAAUUUCCUGAACAGGGACCACCACAAGCGGAUCAACACGGGACUUACGCUCCUUCUGCCCUUAAACACCGCUUAUCACAGGCUGACCAAACCGUUCACAGGAAAUUCAACCCGAACUAAGUCAGGACUAAAUCUGCGAUUAAUCACUGUUCCAACUCGUAACAUCACUCGGUUCUCAAGCAGAAAAUGGCUCUGAUACCAUUUGCACCCAGGACAUACAACAGUUCGUGCAUGCAAUAAUUAAGUAAUAAUUAAGCAAUAAUUAGCAAUAAUUAAAUCUGUCUAAUUAUCUCCAAGCAUAAAAACUGAAAUAUUUAAUGUCUAAUACUGUCUAAUUUAUUGCAGAAAUUUAAGCAUAAUAAAACAAAUAUUUGAAUCUGAAAAUAUUGUUUAUUGAAAAUAUACCUUGAUUACAGAGAGCUGAUGACUACAGGUUGUUGACAGCAGAGGAAUGACUCUAAUUCAAAAAGAAAAUUACAAAAGAAAAUUUUUGAACUCUCAGAAAUUUUUUGAAACUAUCUCUUGGCUGUUGGAACUCUCCCAACUCUUGGAACUCUUGAACCCUUGCCGACCUCUCACCCUAGCCGACCUCUGCCUGAUGAAGAAGGUUGAAGCUCCUUAUAUAGGUGAGGAUUCGGACUUUAGAUGAAUCUUCAAUCUUGAAAGUUUUGGAAUUUCAUCACAUGUAGGCCAGGUGGAGCAUUCUGCAGAAGAAAGAGUGAGGGAAGAUUUCAAAAUAUUCAAAACCUCAUUUUAACAUCAUUAUUAGAAAUUAUGUUCCUCUCAUAAACUCAAUAUAUUUUCAAAUUUGGUAUGAUAAAGACAAAAUCAUUAGAUAUUUGUUUUAUUCUUCAAUAGAGAUACUAAUAUUUGAAUUUUGUUUACAGAUGGAGCAAGAAAGAAUUACAUUUGGGAAAUUUACUCUUCCAGUAUUCCCUAAAUGUAAUAUGUCAUUUCGAAUUCAUAAAGAUAUUGAAGGUUUAGACAGAUCACAAAAAUGCAUUUUAGACAACCUCUGGAAUGCAAAAAGUGAUAUUCAAAAGUUGGAAGCUUUAAAUGCAUUAUCUUUCCAUUUUAAACAGUUAAAUGAUAAAUUAGAAAGUUUUUCUAACCCUUCAAGUUCUGAUAUACAUUGCACACCAAUGGAUACAGAUCUUGAAAAUUUCAUUUGCAGGAAAAAAGCAAAAGGAUCCAAAGAUGCAUUUUCAAAAGAUUUUCAAAAUGAAUUUCAAAAAGAACUUUCAAAACCAAAUGAAGAUUCAAAACUUUCUCAAGAAAGCCAAGAAUGUCAAAUUUCCAGAUUUUCAUUUUUCAAGCUGAAAAAUUUGGACCUUCUUGAAAACCUUAGACAGAUGAUCUGUGAAAAGGCUAAAGCUACAGGAGAAGCAAAGCAAGAGCAUAUCAUGCAAUUUCUUGCUGACUGUAGCACUUUUGGAAUUUCUAUUCAAGGGAUGAGCUUCACUUGGAUUUCUUGUUAUGACAAUACUUAUAAUAAUUGUCCAAAGACCGAUCCCUUGUGUAGAGAAAUUCCAUUAGAAAGGCAUGACUGUAAGUGUGCUCUUACUUACAGUAUAUGCAAAGCCAACAUUAACCUAGACAGUUAUAAACCAAUAGUCAGUCAAUAGAGUUAACUCCAUCCCUCCUCAUGGACUAUGGAGUUCUUUAUCAAUUGAUUUUCUCUCAUCCUGAUCAAACUGAUAAAUUUGGAAGAAAAUUAGUUGUUUGUGUUUUAAAUGCAUUCAUCAAUGAUUUCAAAUCUGUCGAACUCAUCAUAGAAAGUAAACCUCCUGAAUGGUCGAAUGAUGGAGGAGUCUACCCUGCUCAACAUCUCAUUUUACUCAAAGCCAAUCAGAGAAAACAUCAGCUGUUUGGUACAGAGGACCCUUGGCCCUGUACUAAAUCCAGUCUCAAAAAACAAAUCAGACAUUGGAGAUCAAGAAUGAUUGCAAGAGACCUUGAUUCCGAGAUUUAUAGUUCUUCUAACUAUAAUCUCAUUGCUGAAGAUAAUAUUCAAAAAAUCAUCUUUGCAAAUAACUUUUAUGAAGUCCCUCUUUUGUUUCAAACUCAAUUUACUUAUCUUGUUGAUAAGUAUAAAAGAGAAUAUGUCCUUGAAGAAGAAGCCAGAAAAACUUUUGAGAAAUAUCUCUUAGAAAUGCUCAGCUAAGAGAUAUCAAGAAUCAAGAAUCUUUUGUACAUCUGUAAAGUAGCUCUCUUAUGAUUAUCCAGUAAAAAAAAAAAAAAAAAAAAAAAAAAAAAGAACAGUAUAUGAAGUCUGAAGAAGUGCACAGUGCACAGUUUGUAAGUAAAAAAAAAAAGUGAAUAGUGUUUUGUGAAUAGUAAAUCCGUCCUUUAAAGUAAAAAGCAAGAUGACUCAUUACCCAUGUGACCAAAUGAAGAAGAAGAAAGCAAAUUUACCUCCUGCAUACACGUGGAAGACAUCAAAGGCAUAAUGCCUUCUUGAAAGCCCGAAGCCUUUGCUAUAAAUAGGGCUCAAAGGCUUCCUCCCAAGGCAGAGGUCGGCAAGGGUUCAAGAGCUUGGUAGAGAGUUCCAAGAGAGAUAGUUUCAAGAGUGAAAAAAUUUGAGAGUUCAAAAUUUCUGAGAGUUCAAAAAUAUUUUCUUGUAAUUUUCUUUUUGAGUUAGAGUCAUUCCUCUGCUGUCAACAACCUGUAGUCAUCAACUCUCUGUAUUGAGGUAUAUUUUCAAUAAACAAUAUUUUAUUCAAAUAUUUGUGUUAUUAUGCUUAAAUUUCUGCAAUAAAUUAGACAGUAUUAGACAUUAAAUAUUUCUGUUUUUAUGCUUGGAGAUAAUUAGACAGAUUUAAUUAUUGCUAAUUAUUGCUUAAUUAUUACUUAAUUAUUGCGUGCAUGAACUGUUGUAUGUCCUGGGUGCAAAUGGUAUCAGAGCCAUUUUCUGUUUGAGAACCGAGUGGUGUUACGAGUUGGAACAGUGAUUAAUCGCACAUUUAGUCCUGACUUAGUUCGGGUUGAAUUUCCUAUGAACGGUUUGGUCAGCCUGUGAUAAGCGGUGUUUAAGGGCAGAAGGAGCGUAAGUCCCGUGUUGAUCCGCUUGUGGUGGUCCCUGUUCAGGAAAUUAUCUGAAUUGAUUAAGGAUAAAAUUGUGAUUAUUUUCUGUGACAAUGAGUAAUAUUAUUAGGGAAUUAAGUAGAAAUAGUUCUUCCAGAUCUCUUAGGUCCCAUGAAAGUUCUGCAUCUGCAUUAAAUAAUUCUGCAUAUAAUUUAAAAAGUUCUUCAUAUAAGAUAAUGAGAUUUUCAAUGCAUCUACUGCAUCAUCAUCUGCAUCAGUAGCUGCAUCAUCAUGGAGUCAUCAUAUAAAAUUUAAUAAUUCAAAAUUUAAUGAAGAAUUAAAUCAAAUAGAAAAUCAACUAAAAAAUAGUUCAAACUUUGUUCCUGAAAUUUCUCUUUUUGAAGAAGAGUCUGAGUCAAAAAUUUUCUUUCAAGAUAAACCUCCUUUAAACAUAAAUAUCAUUAGAAAAAAAUACAUUAAAAGAAAUCAUUUUGUUCCUGAAGUAGAAUUAAUUAAAGCAAAUUAUUUUUCUCCUGAAAAUACGGCAAAAAGAAAUUAUUUUCAACAACUUCCUCCUCAAGUUAGAAAUGCAUUAAGAAAACAAUAUGAAAAAUAUAUGCAACAAGUUAAGAUGACUAUUCCUUUUUUCCUUUGGUUUUUCAAAUAUAGGAAACCCCUUAAAAGAAUUGCAACAUUAACUUCAAGAAAAGCAAUAGAAAAUUCUCCACAUAAUAAAAAAGAGUCAAGUAAAGAAUCAAAAGAAGAAUUAAGUGAAACAAAAUUUAAUAAAAUUUUGUUUUCUUCUGCCCCGGGUGAGGUGGAGGAAACAGAAACAAAAACAAAAACAUCAACAGAAACAUCAAAACCAACAAAGAUAGAAAAUCCAAAAGAAAUCAAAAAGAUAAAUGUAAUAUCGUCAAAAGUAGAUAAGCAAAUAUUUUUUGAUGUUGUAGACAAAAUUCAAGAUAAAGAAAUACAAAGAAAUUAUUUACAAAAUUUAAAAAAUUUAAUUCUCACUGAAAAUCCAAAUAAAACUCAAGACAUCAAACCUAAUCAAUACUCAAUGGAUGAAAUUUAUAAUAGAUUCAAAAAGACUCAAAGGCCAAUAACUAUUAAAGACUUGGAAGAAGAAAUAAAAGAAAUAAAAAGUCAAAUAAAUCAAUUAAAAUUAGAUAAUGAACAAAUAAAAUUAGAAAAUGAAAUAAUAAAACAAGAAAAUGAUCAAAUAAAACAAGAGAAUGAACAAAUUAGAAACGUAAUACAAUAUAAACAAGAUUUAGCCGAAACUUCUGAAAACCAAGAACCAGGAAUAAUAAUACCUAAUAAAAUAACUCCUAUAGAAUCAUUUAUAAAUACAAUAUCAAAAAUAUAUUUUCAAAGAUGGUAUACAAAUAUAAAAAUUAUAGUUGAAGAUUUUGAAAUAGAAAUAGUAGCAUUAAUAGACUCAGGAGCUGAUAUGAAUUGUAUUCAAGAAGGAAUAAUUCCUACUAAAUAUUAUGAAAAAACAGGACAAGAACUUUUUGCUGCAAAUAAAGGAAAAUUAGAAAUAAAAUAUAAACUUCAAAAUGUUCAUAUAUGUCAAGAUAAUUAUUGUUUUAGAACUCAAUUUAUAUUAGUACAAAAUAUGAAUGAACCUCUAAUAUUAGGAACUCCUUUUAUUACCUUACUUUACCCUUUUCAAGUAAAUGAUGAAGGUGUCAAAACUACAAUAUUAGGAAAUACCAUAUUUUUUCCCUUUAUAUAUCCAUUAACUAAAAAAGAAAUACAUCAAGUUCAAAGUGAUUCAAUAAAUAAGAACAUAAAUUUAAUUCAAAGAAAGAAAGCUCAUAUAAAUUAUCUAUCAAAAGAAAUUCAAUAUAAAACUUGUUCUACAAUUUAUAAUUUAAUAGUAAAUUUUAAUUUUAUAAUUAAACUAUUUAAGAAUAAUAAAUAAAAAUAUUAUAUCAUACAAUUAAAUAUACUAAGCAAUUUGUAUUUUACUAUAUAUUUUAUACUUAUUUUUCAGUCAAAUAAAUAAUACUGAAAUUAUUGUUAAUGGCAUUAAAUACAAAUUUAAUGGGAAACAGGAUCUCAUGCUUGUUAGGUUAUCCAUGGGGAAUAAAACAGCCUAAGGUCGAUCCUAAAAAUCCUAAACUUAGAACUUAGUUUAGGGAGAAUUUUGUUUUGAGCCUAGUUGGGCCAAAAAAAUUGACUAAAGAUCCAUAUAUCAUGCACAUUUAAACCCAAGACACCAAAUAAAGUGUAAAAAUUAAGUUUAUGGAUAUUAUCCUUCAUUAAUCUUUAAAAUAGCUUUAACCCCUAUAUAGACACAUAGUGAGUGUAAAUUUCAAAUUUUUUUUUUUUUUUGUGUUGUUUUCCCUUUUCUAUUCCCAAUUAAAUAUUACUCAUUUCUAACUUUUUUAUUUUUCUUUUUUAAAGAUAUUGAAUCUUUUUACUCUUAUUAUAAGUAAGAAUAAAAAAAUUUCAUAUAAAAUUUAAUGGAUAAUCAAUGAAUGAAAUUUAAUUCUUUUUAUUAUUUUUAUAUAAAAAUAGUAUUAAACAAGGUUUUCAAUUUUUAUUUUUAAAAAUAGUUUUCAUUUUUUAAUUAAAUGUUUUUUCAAAAAGAAAAUAUAAAAAAUAUAAAUCAUAUUACCAUUUUUUUAGAAAGUAUUUUUAAAAAUAGUUUUUGAAAGUAAUUUUUCUUUAUUUAUAAUUUAAAAUAGAAAAUAAAGCUAAUUUUCAAUUAUUUAUAAAAAAAAAGUUUUAAAAAACAAUGAAAAAUCCAAAUGGUUAAAAUAGAAUUAUUAUGGUUGAAUGAAUAGUGGUGCAAUAAAAACCAAAAAAUCUUAUGUGAAAGGUCAAUGAGUAUUUUGAUCUUUUGAUAUCAUAUAUCAUUUCUAUCAAUUAUGUAAGUUAUAUGAACCAAAUCUUAAUUUUUGGACAUAGUUGGACCUAAAACACAAUUGUCCCCUUAGUUAAUGUGCAUAGACCUGUUAUUGUCUCAAGGUGGGUAGAAGAAUUGGUGACAUUAUUUGGAAGAAUGAUCAAUAAAGACGAAGAUGACUUUGUUUUCUUUGGUUGACUUUGAAACAUUGGAGUAGAAUUUGUGUCUUUCUUAGAAUGAGAGAUGACAUGGUUAAAAUAACAGUACAUAGUUAGCAAGAUCAAGGAAACAAAGUUUAAGUUGGUGACUCCAUGGUUUCAGUUGAUGUGUGGCAAAUAAUGGGUCAAUUGUCCAUUUGUAAACAUAUGAGUUCACCAAACCUUGGACUUGGAAACUCUCCAACUAUCUCAUUACUGGAAGGAAGACGACGACUAGAGUUCUCUAUAUGUAGCUUUGUUAAGUUUGAUUCAUUCUUAUGGUCAAAGUCUAUGUCGCUUUACCUCAUUGGAAAAAAAAGAAAAAAAAAACAAAUCCUUGAAGAAUUGUUUGUCUAGAAUGAUUUGAACGUUUGUUGAGUGGUCUUGUCAUUGGAAGAUUAUUAGGGAAUGAAAAUGACUACCGUUUUUAUUUUUAUUUUUUAUUUUCAUUUUUAUAUAUAGCCUUCUUGAGUUUGAUUCACUCUUAAGGUCAAGGUCUUUCAAUUGAUUGUGUCUUGUGUGAUUUGAAUGCAUGUUAACUCUAGUGGUUGGGUGACAACUCCGAUCGCCUAUUCUUUAUUUCAUUUGGAAAAAAAUUGCAUUCAACAGUUUGAAUGCCUGUUGAGUCAAGUGGUUGCCUAGCAACUUGUACAGUGUAUAUUAUUUUACAUUCUAUCAACUCUAGGUUUUUUAAGACAACCAUCCAUCCAUUCUAGGUUCAAACUUCAAAGAAGCCUUUACAGCUUUAAGACAAUCACCCGAGAAUAUGAAACCAAAUAGAUAAAUACCUUUCAUGAUUAUGGACCAAAGCUACAUUAGGGUUAGGGAUUGACUUUAUACCAUUUAUAACAAUCCGUUUCUAAUAGUGUGUAUAUUAUUCGUUCUGGACCCAAAAAGAUCCUUACGGUUUUGAAAUGCGUUCAUAUAAUUAAGAGGAACUCAUAUUUAUUCAACGUUGAAACUUUCUUUGUUCUCAUAUGUGAGAUAUCUCAAUUGUUACGAGACAGGGACAAACAUGGUUUUGAGGGUUAGUCUUGUAAUCAUCUUUAUGUUACAGAUCCUAUAUUCCUAUUUACAUUUAAUUUUUUGUAGACCUGAUCCAUGAGAACGGAGACUUGGAGAAGUCUUCCACUCCCUUUGAAAGGGCUAUUAUUAGGUAAAACAAUGGUAAGACUUUUUGUCUGUGAAGACUUGACUUGGGCUUGUUCCAGACUGGUGAAGGCACUUUCCCCUACUUCACUUUGGAAAAAAUGCACUUUUGGGUUUUGAGUUGACUGCAUUGACUUGAUACAAGUUUACAAUAAUGGCCGAGCUGAUCAAACUUACAAUUAUUAUGCAGUUUUGUUGUUGCCAAAACUUGUUACAUAUACUGGGGAUGAAGAUAACUUGUAAUCCUUUUGUUUUAUGAUAUCAGAAGUUUUUGUUUAGGCCCUUGAUAUCCAUCUUAGGCUUAAUUUUGGUGCUAUGUAUUCUUGAAAACGAAGCUGAUUGUGACUACCAUAUAUUUAGUGGAUGGCCUUGUUUUUGUUGCAUGUAUCAGUUUUGGUGAAAAUUUUGGACUCUCACUUGUAGAAUUAGAAAGGAAGCUUCGGGGAUUUGACAUUUCUUUUCUCUGGUUUGAUCAAUCCAUUUGAGCUCACCAAAUUUGACCCUUUUUAAUGGGUCACACCUCAGCUCUUCAUAAGUUUAUGGUAGGCCAAGAUUUGCCUUGGUUCCCUUUACUUUCGAGUAUAUAUGUAGCCUUUUUUUUUUUAGUAUGAAAAUCACAAUAGCUUCAUAAUAAAGCUAACUAGGGUAAAGUUUUUACCUUAAAAUAAAUAAAAAAUUGUUCUCAUUAGCAGUUUUUUGCAGGACAAGAAAAAUAUCGAAGAAAACAGGUGUUAUACGAGAAAACGGAAACUUGAACAUGAAUAAACCAUUAAUCUCAUUGUUUAACAAUGCUAUAUUUAGAACAUCAAAUCUUUGAUGUUCAAGCCUUCAAUCCUCUUAUCCUUGCACAUUGUCAGCCGGUACCCGAGGUGCAAUUUUCUAUUCACCCACAAAAAGUCUUUUUGAUAUUUUUACAACUUUAUCAAUUACUCGAACGAAAUUUAGUUAUGGAAAAGAACUGGGACUUUUGAAGAUGCAUUACAUUGUGUUGAAGAUGCAGGAGGUUCGAAACCAUGCAUUAUUGGUAGACUAGGUAGAGUUCCACUCAAAUUAUUUCUUACCUUGCUAAAUUCUCUGUGACAACAUCUGAGAAAUAAUCUCCAUGGUUGGCCUGGAUUGUGGAUUGGCAUUUAAACAUGCAGUUGCGAGCUUUAUGAUAGCUACCACUUCCCCUUCGUCUUGGGGUGUGAGAGGUGGGAGUCGCGGGUCCAACAUGUCUUUCAACACUAUGUUCUUCUCUGGGGAAACUGAUAUAGACAAGAUUUGAUCUCCAGGAUGUCUUCCUUUGAUAACUUCCAGUGCUAUCACUCCAAAGCUAUAGACAUCGGUUUUUUCUGUGACCUUCAUUGUAUAAGCAUGCUCUGCAAAAUUAGAAGAUAAAUAUUACAUCGUGAGCAUGUUAGAUUUCUUUGUUAGUUGAGGAGUGAAGUGUACCUGGUGCAACGUAUCCGACUGUGCCUGCAAGUUUGCUCUGAUUUGAUGAGUCUACCUUAAGAAGCUUGGCAGUGCCCAAGUUAGAAAUAUGAGCCUCAUAUUGAGAAUCCAGCAGAAUAUUGUUGCUCGAUAUAUCCCGAUGAACAAUCGGGGGUGAGCAAUCAUGGUGCAUGUAAGACAAAGCGUGAGCCACUCCUUUGAUGAUCUUGACCCUUGUAGCCCAACCCAAUUUUUUAGCUUCUUCUCUGCUCAAGAUUGUAGCCAAGCUACCUCUUUCAAGGUACUCAUAGACCAAAAAGGAGUGUCGUGGAUAUGAACAGAAACCAAGAAGUCUCACAAUGUUUCGAUGCUUGAUCUCUGUCAUUGCCCUUACUUUAUUCAAGAAAUCCUUUUGAUUUGCCAUAUCCAUGUCGGAUGGGUGAAGCUUCUUCACAGCUACUAUAUUACCUGAUGGCAGCUCUGCUUUGUAAACGCUUCCAUGCCCUCCCUUUCCGAUGCAAUACAUGGGAUCAAAGUCCUUGGUGGCCUUUAUAAUCUCUUCAUACAUUGCUCUUCCAUCAAAAGUUGAUAUUGAGAGGAGAUUAUUCUGUACAUCACCUUCUUCGAUUUCUGGAGUUCUCUCUCUUCUUUCAGCAAUCAAGAAAAUCCCAAUGAAAGCAGAAAGAAGUACAAGUGCUCCCAAAAGAGGGAAUAUGAUAAUAAACACAACUUUGUGGCUCUUUUUGACAGGUUGUUGGUCUACUCCAAAACCAUAUUUGCAAGGUUGCAACCCUUUAACAUUGCCGCACAAAUCUUUGUUCCCCUUUAGCACCUCAAUGGUAGCAUUUCGAAAUGCAUUGCUGUGAGGAAUGGGACCCUGCAACUGAUUGUAGGAAAUGUCAACAUACGACAAGGCAGGCAUGUCCUCAAAAGCCUUUGGGAUGAAACCACAAAGGUUGUUAUGGGAGAGAUCAAGCAUCUCCAAACUCUCCAAACCUUGGAUCUGUGCCGGGAUGCCACCUGUAAGCAAGUUGUGACUCAGAUCUAGCUGGGAGAGGUGACUCAGCUUACCCAUCUGAACCGGAAUUCCGUGGCUGAGUUUGUUAUUGCUCAGGUUCAAGUAAUGCAAGUCCAAGCAGUCGCCCAAGUGCUCUGGUAUUGACCCAUUCAAUCUAUUGGCUGAAAGGUCUAGAUACUCAAGGUGGGACAGCGAUCCAAGUUCAGGAGGAAUACUCCCGGAAAGUUGGUUGUCAUUCAAUAUCAGCCCCAACAGAGAAGUCAAACUUCCCAUUUUCUUUGGAAUUUCCCCAACCAAAUGAUUUGAAGAAAGAUCAAGCAAGAUUAGAUUAGUUGAGAUUCCAAAAUCUUCUGGUAUGCUCCCUGUAAUAUUGUUCCCGGCAAUCUCCAGCCUUUGUAGUUGUGGGCAUCUUCCCCAGUUAUGAGAGAGUUCACCAUGAAACCUGUUGUAGCUCAAAUCGAUGAAUUCCAGGUUUGGACAGUCACCAACUACCUCAGAUACAUUUCCAGUGAGUCGGUUUCCCUGGAACAGAGCUCUGGUUAAGUUUCUGCAAUUUUUCAAGCUUUUGGGGAUGGGACCACUGAGAUGGUUGUCACUCACUGUAAAGCGCUCCAGAGAUCCACCUUGGCAAAUGCCUUCCGGUAAAGAGCCAAACAGCUGGUUUGUGUCGAUUUCUAGCACAACCAACUUAUGAAGUUUCCCAAUUUCUUGAGGAAAGUAACCAGAAAGACGGUUAUCACGGAGGAAUAAAAUUUCUAAGUUGGUUAGAUUACCCAGUGAAGUAGGAAUGGAACCAUUGAGUUGAUUUUCUGAAAGUUCUAGAUCAACAAGAGACUUCAAGUUACCUAUUUCUUGAGGAAUGGGACCGGAAAGUUGAUUGGCAUAGAGAUGCAGGAGGGUUAGGCCACUCAGAUCACAUAAUGACACAGGGAUUGGGCCUGAAAGAUUGUUUCCGUAGAGGCUUAGACCUUGCAGGGAUUUCAAAUUUCCUAUUUCUGGUGGGAUAGGCCCAGAGAGGCUAUUGUUGAACAAGUACAACACGGUUAAAUGUUUCAAAUUUCCAAAAGUGGAAGGGAUGGGACCUGUGAGAUUGUUGGUAUCCGAGUAUAGCUGAACAAGGUUGGUGAGAUUUCCCAUUUCUGGAGGAAUGGAACCCGAAAGUUGAUUUUCAUAGAGAUACAAAGAGGCCAAGUUGCUCAAAUUACCCAAAGAAGCAGGAAUAGAACCCUCCAGUUGGUUGGUGUACAAAGCAAGCUCAUAAAGAGACGUCAACUGACCUAUUUCAUGAGGAAUUGAACCAUUCAACUGAUUUUGAACCAGGUGUAAGACCUCAAGAUUAGUUAAUAGGCCGAUCUCGGGCGGAAUCCCUCCUGAGAACUGGUUGAUAGAGAGAUCAAGGUAUUUGAGCUUGGAGAGGAGACCGAUUUGGGGUGGGAUAGGACCAGAGAGGUUGUUCAUGCUGAUAUCAACAUACGCAAGAUUGGGAAAAGAUGAGAAUGAGAAGGCUUGGAGCGUACCUCCUAAACCCGACUCUGUGAGGUUUAUUCUGAUGACGCUCCCUGCAUGGUUGCAGGAUAUUCCGUACCAUUUGCAUGGACUGACUUCUGUUCCAAGGUGGGUAGAAGAAUUGGUGAAGUUGUUAGGAUAAAGAGUCCACGAAAGGAGGGAAGAAUGGUUAUGGUUGUGAAGGGUAGCUUUCCAUUUGAGGAGAGCUUGUGUUUCUUCAUUAGAAUAAGAAGAAACAUGGUCUGAAGAAAUCAACAUAACCAAGAGGAGCAAGGAAACAAGGGAGAGCAUUUUCUGUAAGGUUGAGGGUGCCAUGGUUUUGGUUGAUGAAUUGCAUAUGCUGCUUCACAACUUCAUUUAUACACAUUUGGUUCCUUUGUUCGUCCCACUCGGAAACUUCCUUGUUCACACUUCACACCAAUUAAAAUUCAGCCCUUUAAUGUCAAGAUUGAGGUCUUUUAAAGCAUGGCUCCCUUUUUCUUUCUUUUUGCCUGGGGUUCCCUUUCUACUAGCAUGGUGGUCUUCCUAUAUCUUUGUGGUCGUCGAAGUCUUCUCCGGUCUCUUUCAAAAUGAAUAAUGACGAUGAAGGUUGGUUGGAGACUAACGCUCUCUUUGACAAUUAUUUUGGACAACAGAGCAGGUUUAGUAAUAAAAAAAUUAUUUUUUAUUUUUUAUUCUUAAACACAGAAAAUGAUAUGUUUUUUAGGGACUUUUUUUUUAAUUAUCAUCAAUUAUUUUGAUUUGUUUUUUAAAAAUUAUUUUAAAAAAUAACUAUAAAAAAUGGAGAAUAAUUAAAAAAAAUGGACAAAAAUUUUAUUUUUAAAAAUAUUUAAAAACAUUAAAUAUGUGAUAAAAAUAUUUAAGAUUUCUAAAUACAUUUUUAUUUUACCAUUCAUCAAAGAACUGCCGUUAAAAACUGUUAUAAAAAAAUAGUUGUUAAAGAUAACUUAAUUUUAUUUGAAUCUUUGUUUUUAUCUUUACGAUGAUCUUCUUCUUUUACUCUUUGUAAAAGAAAACCGAACUUGAAAAUUUGUUUCAGUUAAGUAAUUAUAAAAGAAAAUUUUAGUCUACUUAAUAACUAAGUUGAUUUAUUAAAACUUAAUAAUUAAUAUUUACCCUAGGCUUGGUUUUUAGAAAAUUUUAAAUGAAUUGAAUAUGAAAAAAAAAUGAAGUUUUAAAAAGAAAAAAACAAAAUUUAAGUUAAUAAAUUAUUUUUAUAUGUUUUUAAAUUUUAUUUGAAUGAUUUAUUUUUAUAUAAAGAAUAAAUAAUUUAAAAAUGCUUAAAUUUUUAAAUGAUUUUAAUUAUAUUUAAUUUAUUUAUUUUUAUGUAUUUUACAUUUUAAUAUUUAUUAUAAUAUGAAAUAUCAUAUGUUUAUUAUUAUUUGAAAUUGCUUUACAAUUUAUAAUUUAAUAGGAAAUUUUAAUUUAUUUAUUGAUAGUAUUCAUAAUUAAACUAUUUAAAACUUAUAAAUAAAAAAUAGUAUAUUAUAUAAUUAAAACAAUUUGUAUAGAUUAAAAUACUGUAGUAAUGAUAUAUAUUAGUAUUUUACUGUGUAUUUUAUACUUAUUUUUCAGUUAAUUUAAUUUUAAUUUUAAUUUUUAAUUUUUAAUUUUAAUUAAAACAAUUUAACUUUAAUUUUUUAAUUAUUAUUUUUUUAACUUUUAAGUAAUAUAAAAAAAAUUAAAGAAAAAUAAAAGGAAAUGGAUAAGAAAAGUAAAUCCGUGAUUCGGCCCAUUCCAGUCCACAGUUACCGCCGACGACACCGACGUCAGUCAACCGGCAACCGCGACGCCGCCUCAGCAGCGCAGUCACUGCCGCCAUCUCCGGAAACUCCACAGCACCACUCCUUUCCACCCAGAUGCCACGCGCCGUCGCUCACGGCAUCUCCGCCCGUGGCCUUGCCAUUCAAGGCGCCGCUCCGUCGCCGACUCCUUCCACACCCACCCCAUUCACUAACGCCAAGACCACCAUGGUCUCGGCCACUGCCUCUGGUAGCCAACAUGGCUGCCAUCUUCAUCCUCCAUCUCACCUCUCCGCCGUACCCCACUACCAAUCUCCUUCGGCCUCCAUGAUCCCCAUCUCCGCCGCUGAACCCAUCACCCUACCGGCGCCAACAUCUUUUCUUCUUUAUUUAUUUAUUUAUUUAUUCCAGUGCUGCUCAUAUAUUUUGAUAUGUAAAUAUUUAAUUUGUUAAUUAGAAAAUACAUGAGUAGCAGUCUUGGUAGAUGAAUGGAUGAAUUUUCUGCAUGAGUAGCAGAGAUUUAUCUACUUCUAUUCACACAAAACCACACUUUAUUUCUUUGGGCACAAAGCCACAAUUUCUAUGAGUACAAAUCACACCGGGUACUUGAUGUAGAAAGAAAGACUAAACAAACUCAAAAGGCAUUACAUAGUGCUGAAGAUGCAGGAGGUUCGAAACCAUGUGUUACGGUAGACUAGGUAGAGUUCCCCACAAACUAAAUCUUACCUUACUACUUUCUCUGUGAUAACAUCUGAGAAACAGUCUGCAUGGUUGGCCUGGAUUGCGGGUUGGCUUUUAAGCAUUCAAUUGCUUGCUUUAGGAUAGCUAUCACUUCCCCCUCAUCCUGGGGUGUGAGAGGUGGGAGUCGGGGGUCCAACAUGUCUUCCAACGCUAUGUUAUCCUUCUCUGGGGAAACUGAUAGAGACAAGAUCUGAUCUCCAGGAUGUCUUCCUUUGAUAACUUCCAGUGCUAUUACUCCAAAGCUAAAGACAUCAGUUUUUUCGGUCACCUUCAUUGUAUAAGCAAGCUCUGCAAAAUUAAAAGAUAAAUAUUAUAUCGUGGACAUGUUUCAUACCUUGUUUAAUUCAAGAGUGAACCGUACCUGGUGCAAGAUAUCCGAAUGUGCCUGCAAGUAUGCUCUGAUUCGAUGAGUCUAGCUUUAGAAGCUUGGCAGUGCCGAAGUCAGAAAUAUGAGCUUCAUACUGAGAAUCCAGCAGAAUAUUGUUGCUUGAUACAUCCCGAUGAACAAUAGGGGGUGAGCAAUCAUGGUGCAUGUAAGCCAAAGCAUGAGCCACUCCUUUAAUGAUAUUGACCCUUGUAGCCCAACCCAAUUUCUUAGCUUCUUCUCUGCUCAAGAUUGUAGCCAGGCUACCUCUUUCAAGGUACUCGUAGACCAAAAACUUGUGUCGUGGAUGUGAACAGAAACCAAGAAGUUUCACUAUGUUUCGAUGCUUGAUUUCUGUUAGUGCCCUUAUUUCAUUUAAGAAAUCCUUUUGAUUUGCCAUCUCUGUGUCGGAUGGGUGAAGCUUCUUCACAGCUACUAUAUUACUUGAUGGCAGCUCUGCUUUGUAAACACUUCCAUGGCCUCCCUUUCCUAUGCAAUACAUGGGAUCAAAAUCCUUGGUGGCCUUUAUAAUCUCUUCAUACAUUGUUCUUCCAUCAAAAUUUGAUAUUGAAAAGAGAUCAUUCUGUACGUCACCUUCUUCGAUUUCUGGAGUUCUCUCUCUUCUUUCAGCAAUCAAGAAAAUCCCAAUGAAAGCAAAAAGAAGUACAAGUGCUCCCAAAAGAGGGAAUAUGAUAAUAAACACAACUUUGUGGCUCUUUUUGACAGGUUGUUGGUCUACUCCAAAACCAUAUUUGCAAGGUUGCAACCCUUUAACAUUGCCGCACAAAUCUUUGUUCCCCUUUAGCACCUCAAUGGUAGCAUUUCGAAAUGCAUUGCUGUGAGGAAUGGGACCCUGCAACUGAUUGUAGGAUAUGUCAACAUACGACAAGGCAGGCAUGUCCUCAAAAGCCUUUGGGAUGAAACCACAAAGGUUGUUAUGGGAGAGAUCAAGCAUCUCCAAGCUUUGCAAACCUUGGAUCUGUGGCGGGAUGCCACCUGCAAGCAAGUUGUGACUCAGAUCUAGCUGGGAGAGGUGACUCAGCUUACCCAUCUGAACCGGAAUUCCGUGGCUGAGUUUGUUAUUGCUCAGGUUCAAGUAAUGCAAGUCCAAGCAGUCGCCCAAGUGCUCUGGUAUUGACCCAUUCAAUCUAUUGGCUGAAAGGUCUAGAUACUCAAGGUGGGACAGCGAUCCAAGUUCAGGAGGAAUACUCCCGGAAAGUUGGUUGUCAUUCAAUAUGAGCCCCAACAGAGAAGUUAAACUUCCCAUUUUCUUUGGAAUUUCCCCAACCAAAUGAUUUGAAGAAAGAUCAAGCAAGGUUAGAUUAGUUGAGAUUCCAAAAUCUUCUGGUAUGCUCCCUGUAAUAUUGUUCCCGGCAAUCUCCAGCCUUUGUAGUUGUGGGCAUCUUCCCCAGUUAUGAGAGAGUUCACCAUGAAACCUGUUGUAGCUCAAAUCGAUGAAUUCCAGGUUUGGACAGUCACCAACUACCUCAGAUAUAUUUCCAGUGAGUCGGUUUCCCUGGAACAGAGCUCUGGUUAAGUUUCUGCAAUUUUUCAAGCUUUUGGGGAUGGGACCACUGAGAUGGUUGUCACUCACUGCAAAGCGCACCAGAGAUCCAGCUUGGCAAAUGCCUUCCGGUAAAGAGCCAAACAGCUGGUUUGUGUCGAUUUCUAGCACAACCAACUUAUGAAGUUUCCCAAUUUCUUGAGGAAUGUAACCAGAAAGUUGAUUAUCACGGAGGAAUAAAAUUUCUAAAUUGGUUAGAUUACCCAGUGAAGUAGGAAUGGAACCAUUGAGUUGAUUUUCAGAAAGUUCUAGAUCAACAAGAGACUUCAAGUUUCCUAUUUCUUGAGGAAUGGGACCGGAAAGUUGAUUGGCAUAGAGAUGCAGGAGGGUUAGGCCACUCAGAUCACAUAAUGACACAGGGAUUGGACCAGAAAGAUUGUUUUCGUAGAGGCUUAGCUCUUGCAGGGAUUUCAAAUUUCCUAUUUCUGGUGGGAUAG
rnacentral:lncRNA from 1 species